CUGUAGGGCCCCAACCACAAGAGACACAGACAUGCUUGCCUAUGUCUGGGCACAGAAGAUGACUGCCAGCUACAGCAAACAGGACCAACACAGGCCGCUCUGAGCCAUACCAUGGCCAAAGCCGUCAUUACCAAUGAAAACAACCGAUAACCAAAGUUAAGCUGCAUUCAUAAUUCUGCUAGUUGUUCCUAGAAUUUGACCACCACCAAAAGAGAAAACUCAAAUUCUCAGGGCCUUUUCACACAGCAAAAUUUCAGGGCUGAAUGACAUUCCGCAGGCACCGGCAGAACAAGCCUGCGCUAGAACCACUCAGAAAUGCGCCGCCUCCACAGACUGCAAUGCAUCUCUGGGCGGAUUUCGCUAAAGAAAAAACAUGGAAGUCUGGAAUUUCAGUUUCAGUGGCGGAUAUACCCAUGACAAAAAGAAAUUCUGCCAUAUGCAUAGUGCAGCAGAAUUCCAGUAAAAACGAUGGUUGUCUUCUGUAGCAGAAUUUCCAAGCAAAAUUUU